UGGGGAAUCUUAGACAAUGGGCGCAAGCCUGAUCUAGCCAUGCCGCGUGUGUGAUGAAGGCCUUAGGGUCGUAAAGCACUUUCGCCAGAGAUGAUAAUGACAGUAUCUGGUAAAGAAACCCCGGCUAACUCCGUGCCAGCAGCCGCGGUAAUACGGAGGGGGUUAGCGUUGUUCGGAAUUACUGGGCGUAAAGCGUACGUAGGCGGAUCAGAAAGUAUGGGGUGAAAUCCCAGGGCUCAACCCUGGAACUGCCUCAUAAACUCCUGGUCUAGAGUUCGAGAGAGGUGAGUGGAAUUCCGAGUGUAGAGGUGAAAUUCGUAGAUAUUCGGAGGAACACCAGUGGCGAAGGCGGCUCACUGGCUCGAUACUGACGCUGAGGUACGAAAGUGUGGGGAGCAAACAGGAUUAGAUACCCUGGUAGUCCACACCGUAAACGAUGAAUGCCAGUCGUCGGGUAGCAUGCUAUUCGGUGACACACCUAACGGAUUAAGCAUUCCGCCUGGGGAGUACGGUCGCAAGAUUAAAACUCAAAGGAAUUGACGGGGGCCCGCACAAGCGGUGGAGCAUGUGG
rnacentral:rRNA from 1 species